rnacentral:rRNA from 1 species
CAGUCGCCGCGGUAAUACGGAGGGGGCUAGCGUUGUUCGGAAUUACUGGGCGCAAAGCGCACGUAGGCGGCUUGGUAAGUUAGAGGUGAAAGCCCGGAGCUCAACUCCGGAAUUGCCUUUAAGACUGCCGAGCUAGCAGGUGAGAGAGGUAAGUGGAAUUCCGAGUGUAGAGGUGAAAUUCGUAGAUAUUCGGAAGAACACCAGUGGCGAAGGCGGCUUACUGGCUCAUACUGGACGCUGAGGUGCGAAAGCGUGGGGAGCAAACAGGAUUAGAUACCCGCGUAGUCCCUGUCUCUUAUAC